GUGGAAAACUCAACAGGCUGCAGAGGCCAGAUGAUUUCAGCCAUUCUGAAAAGCAUAAGGAAAAGAAAAACCACCAGUGAUCUCAUAAUACAGACAUUUUGGAAUAUUUGAAAAGAUCACACCACUGCACUUCAACCUGGGACAAAGAGCAAGACUCUGACUAUAAAAACAAAAACCAAAAAAAGGUGUGCACUAUGCACAUAUGUACAUUUUUAGAAAAUUGUUUCUUACCCUAUGUAGA
rnacentral:lncRNA from 1 species